UUCAUUGUUAAGAAGGAUUCGGUGGGCAUAUUUCUAUCUCACACUAAGCCGGGAAAUUAAAAAACGCUGGAAAUC
rnacentral:tRNA from 1 species